ACAGUUUAGACUCGUAAGUUAUUGGAGUAUAAUUUCUUUGUGUGCCCCAGUUUAUACUCAUGAGGGUAUGGAGUAUUAUUUUUUGUUGGCACAGUUUAAACUCGUAAGUUUCUUGGAGUAUAUAUAUAUGAAGCUAGCCGUUUAUACUCUUGCAGCUUGGAGUAUUAUGUCCUUUCGCUUUUAAGCAUAGUAUCGCUUAAGGAAUUUUCCAUUUACCGG
rnacentral:lncRNA from 1 species